GAUGAACGCUGGCGGCGUGCCUAAUACAUGCAAGUCGAGCGAACAGACGAGGAGCUUGCUCCUCUGACGUUAGCGGCGGACGGGUGAGUAACACGUGGAUAACCUACCUAUAAGACUGGGAUAACUUCGGGAAACCGGAGCUAAUACCGGAUAAUAUAUUGAACCGCAUGGUUCAAUAGUGAAAGACGGUUUUGCUGUCACUUAUAGAUGGAUCCGCGCCGCAUUAGCUAGUUGGUAAGGUAACGGCUUACCAAGGCAACGAUGCGUAGCCGACCUGAGAGGGUGAUCGGCCGCGCUGGAACUGAGCCACGGUCCAGACUCCUACGGGAGGCAGCAGUAAGAAAUCUUCCACAAUAGGCGAAAGCUUGACGGAGCAACGCCGCGUGAGUGAUGAAGGUCUUCGGAUCGUAAAACUCUGUUAUUAGGGAAGAACAAAUGUGUAAGUAACUAUGCACGUCUUGACGGUACCUAAUCAGAAAGCCACGGCUAACUACGUG
rnacentral:rRNA from 1 species